GAAAAUGAAAAGAACACGAUGUAUCAAUUUGUAAAUAAGUUGUAAUAACUAGAUUGUAUUUGGAGGAAUCAAAUGGAAACUGUGAUGUAAAAAUGUAUGAAUAUGAAUCUAUGUAAUAACAUAGGAUGUGUUAUGUUGUUGAUACCUUCCUUAUGCAAUCUGUUUGUUAAAUACUGUUCCUGAUUGGAACCUUUGUAUUGUAUUGAUUGCGAUGCCUUGAACGUACAGGGGAGACUCUGUCCGCAGUACAGGGGAAACCCUUUCCGUUCGGCGCUGUCGGCGCCGCGACCUCGGCCAAAUAGGCGGGUGGUCGCGGGUCGUGACAGAAGAUGGUAUCAGAGAAUAAAGUAGAGAAUGGGAAUGGUUUAGAUGACCUAGGAGGCCCUAGGAUAGUAAAACCAUAGGAGAAUAAGGCUCGUGAGAGACGAGGAGUUGUGAUUGUGGCGAAAGGUUAAUGAAUUGGGUCGUGUCGGAACCUCUAAGACAGAUAUUAGAGGUAGACUUAAGGUAUUGUUUGUUCUCGAUCGACGGUGUUCAUGUUGGGCGCGCACGACAUGAAGCCGAGUGACGAGAAUAGACGUCCUUGUAUGACUUUCGCCUGAUUGGCUUUUGAGCCGUGUUAGUGGUCUCGUGUUCGACCCAAGUUGGUCGAGAACUAAUCGAGUUGUUUUGUUUCAGGAGACGAUGGCACCGCGUAGGCGAUCUUCGUCCAGAUCGGCGCGGGCGGGGACAAGUGGUGCCCCUGAGCAAACCGACGCGAGCGGAGACUCAGAGCUUCGCGAUCAGUUGGCCACACUCAUUGGAGUGAUACGGCAACAAGCUGAUGUGGUGCAGCGGCAGCAGGAGGCUGCUGUGCGCCAAGAGGAGCAGAUGAAAAGACUCCAAGAAACGGUGGAUCGGCUGGUGGCUGCACCAGCUGCGGCUCGUCGAGGACGGCCGGGAGUCGCGGCGGAGGUAGUUCCGUCGGGGUCGGGCGAUCCGACUCCGGUUAGUUCCGAAGUGGAGGCGGAGAGGGAGCGAGCUUUGGCGG
rnacentral:lncRNA from 1 species